GACUCUUCUCCGUAGCCUGGAGGAUAGACCGCCAGGGUGCGGUGGCGAACAACCCCCGGUUCGAGACCGGCUGGAUCCGCCACUCCCGACGCGCCGGCCCCGUGUCCACGACGGAAACCCCGCCGAGACCUAGCCGCGGUCCCCGGAUCUCCAGAUACGGAGGGGAGAUCUUUU
rnacentral:ncRNA from 1 species